UAGGUUAACGAGGCGAACCGGGGGAACUGAAACAUCUAAGUACCCCGAGGAAAAGAAAUCAACCGAGAUUCCCCCAGUAGCGGCGAGCGAACGGGGAGCAGCCCGGAGUCUGAAUCAGCUUGUGUGUUAGUGGAACGGUCUGGAAAGUCCGACGGUACAGGGUGAUAGUCCCGUACACGAAAACACACUUGCUGUGAACUCGAAGAGUAGGGCGGGACACGUGGUAUCCUGUCUGAAUAUGGGGGGACCAUCCUCCAAGGCUAAAUACUCCUGACUGACCGAUAGUGAACCAGUACCGUGAGGGAAAGGCGAAAAGAACCCCGGCGAGGGGAGUGAAAAAGAACCUGAAACCGUGUACGUACAAGCAGUGGGAGCCUCUUUAUGGGGUGACUGCGUACCUUUUGUAUAAUGGGUCAGCGACUUAUAUUCUGUAGCAAGGUUAACCGUAUAGGGGAGCCGAAGGGAAACCGAGUCUUAACUGGGCGUUAAGUUGCAGGGUAUAGACCCGAAACCCGGUGAUCUAGCCAUGGGCAGGUUGAAGGUUGGGUAACACUAACUGGAGGACCGAACCGACUAAUGUUGAAAAAUUAGCGGAUGACCUGUGGCUGGGGGUGAAAGGCCAAUCAAACCGGGAGAUAGCUGGUUCUCCCCGAAAGCUAUUUAGGUAGCGCCUCGUGAACUCAUCUUCGGGGGUAGAGCACUGUUUCGGCUAGGGGGCCAUCCCGGCUUACCAACCCGAUGCAAACUACGAAUACCGAAGAAUGUUAUCACGGGAGACACACGGCGGGUGCUAACGUCCGUCGUGAAGAGGGAAACAACCCAGACCGCCAGCUAAGGUCCCAAAGUCAUGGUUAAGUGGGAAACGAUGUGGGAAGGCACAGACAGCCAGGAUGUUGGCUUAGAAGCAGCCAUCAUUUAAAGAAAGCGUAAUAGCUCACUGGUCGAGUCGGCCUGCGCGGAAGAUGUAACGGGGCUAAACCAUGCACCGAAGCUGCGGCAGCGACACUAUGUGUUGUUGGGUAGGGGAGCGUUCUGUAAGCCGUUGAAGGUGUGCUGUGAGGCAUGCUGGAGGUAUCAGAAGUGCGAAUGCUGACAUAAGUAACGAUAAAGCGGGUGAAAAGCCCGCUCGCCGGAAGACCAAGGGUUCCUGUCCAACGUUAAUCGGGGCAGGGUGAGUCGACCCCUAAGGCGAGGCCGAAAGGCGUAGUCGAUGGGAAACAGGUUAAUAUUCCUGUACUUGGUGUUACUGCGAAGGGGGGACGGAGAAGGCUAUGUCAGCCGGGCGACGGUUGUCCCGGU
rnacentral:rRNA from 1 species